GGUUGGAACUACAUGAUCCUUGAGGUCCCUUCCAACCCAGGUCAUUCUGUGAUUCUGUGAUUCCCCAACCCGAGGGAUAAGGAGGCAAUGGAUGCGGGGAAGGCUGAAGUACUCAACGAGCUCUUUGCCUCAGUCUUCACUGGCAGCCAGGUUUCUUGCAUCUCACAUCCCUGAACCUCACAUCCCUGAACCUCUAGGUGGGAGCUGGGUGAGCAAAACCUCUCCCAGUGUAAGAGCAGAGCAAGUUCAAGCCCAUCUCAUCAGACUGUGUUCAAGUCUGAGGGACAAGGGAGAACGGUUUUAACCUUAAAGAGGGAAAAUUUAUAUUAGAUGGCAGGGGGAGCUUUUUCACUGACAGGGUGGUGAGGUGCUGGAACAGGCUGCCCAGAGAAGCUCAUUCCCUGGAGAUGGCCAAGACCAGGUAGGGUGGGACCCUGGGCAACAUGACCUACUACAUGGUUUAGUGCUUGGCAGCCCUGCUUACAGCAGGGGGAUUGGAGAAAGGUGAUCUUUGAUGUCCUUUCCACCCCAGACCUCUCUAUGAUUCUAUGAUUCUCUGACCCAACACCUAGAAGACUUUUCACAGUCUGCCUAGUAAGGCUCACAGCAAGUAGCACAUCAUGGCAUGUAUAACUUAGUUAAUGUUUAUGCCACUUGACACAUGGGACAACAAACACAGACUAUGGCAAGGAAAUAUUGAACUGCAGGCUGAAUUUUGAUCUUCCUGCUGGGUCGAAAUAAUCCUAUGUCAGCCCCAGUCUACUCCUCUGCACCAAGAUUAACAAGAGAAAACUGUGGCCUAAUGCUCUUGCACGCUACUGAGCUACACGUUGCUGCAAUACCUCUGCACAAGGACAUUUGGCCUCUGCAUCUGCCUUUUGCAGGUGAUUCAGCACCUUUGGGCUGCAUUUUGGCUUCUAUAAGUGGCAGGUUGGCAGCUGGUAGGGCAAACCUGAAAGGAAAUUAAAAUAUAUAUAUGAAAAAUUUAUAUAUAUAUAUAAUAUAUAUAUAUAAGGCACGCACAAAUUGGUGUUGACCAACAGUAUUUGACAGGACUGCUGUAUCUCAGGUGUAGCAAAUAUUCAUCCAAAACAUCAUUUCUUUGGGACGAGAUCAGAGCAUUAUUAAUGUGCGUGACACCAGACACGUUCAGAGCUGCCAAGUAAUGACAUUAUUUAGGUGAAGGUCUGAGCAAAGUGUUCCGGUAAUUUGUUGGCUAUUUGCAUUGGACAAUAUGUUUCUGAAGUGAUAACAGUAAUUUAAUCAUCAUCUCCAUGGUGGUAUUAAAUGUGAAAAUCACAUUUGCAUCUUUUUGCUGCAUUUGAUUUAUUUUAUGACAGCCAACAUCUCAAGAAAAAAGCCUGUCAUAGAUCACCACUAGGUAGGGAAUGAUAACUGAUAUUGCUUCAUAAGCUGUUUGGCAAAGCAGUACAAGAGCCACUUAUAGAGGAAACAGAUGGAUACAAAAGAUGUUCCAGCAGGGCUGUAAAAUGCCUUGCAUGCUCAGUCCAUGGCUGUCUGCAGUGAAGCACACCAGUUGAAAGAGGAGGUAGGAAAGCACCUGUUUGGCUCAGUAAGCAAAGCCUCUUCUCUGAUCUUGAUGUGCUCUUUUAACUGACAAACUGGUUCGUAUUUAUCUUGGCUCCAAGCAGCCAGAAGGGCAGGUCAGGUGGGUGCCCCCUAGUUCACUCCAGGCAGUCAGGCAUAUUUGUUUAAUGGAUUUAUAUUGAACUAGAUGGUGAAUUGAUAGUCCGGGAGUUGAUCUGACUGCUAUUGACUGAAUCAGUUCAGGAGGUACUUGGAAGAGAUACCUGCAAUGAAAGCCUGGGAGCUGACAGAAGCCAGUUUGCAACAGCUGUGGACAAUUAUUUUCCUCCAGCAGCAAUAAUGAGAACAAAGACUGUGUUUUCUACAGCAGAAAGAAAGACUAUUCCUGGCAGCAGCAAAAGAGCCCUGUGACAGCGAGAAUCAUGGCAGCCUGCCUCGGGAAUCAGAGCUCAGCUCACCAUGAAAAUGAACAAGGAAUCUGUGAUGGUCCGGAGAAUGAUUCACCCAUUGUUCUGUUUUCAAUAGCGAACACUACGGGAUCUGCCCCUAAGCAAAUUAUUCUGUUAAUUUGCUUGGCUAUGUUGGAAACAAGUGAUCUUUUCAAGUGUAGUUUAGCAGACCAAGGAUGUGAGGUUACACCCGUUUUUCCCCGCCCCACCUCUACAACCGUAAUAAUGAGGAUGGUUCAUCCGGUAAAUUCUCCAGUGACAGCGACUAAUGAAUGUUUGGUGAGGAAGCUAUAGAAGCUCAAAUGGUGCUGUUAUACACGUGCAAUGAUAACUUGUUCAGUUCAUUUCUUGUGGGAAUUUUACACACUGCUUUUAUCUUUUGAGACUUUGAAAACAAAGGCUUUUAUCAGUCGUCAAGCACAAAGCAGUGAUAA